UACGGAGGGUGCGAGCGUUGUUCGGAAUCACUGGGCGUAAAGCGCGUGUAGGCGGCCCAUUAAGUCUGAUGUGAAAGCCCGGGGCUCACCCCCGGAAGUGCAUUGGAAACUGAUGGACUCGAGUCCCGGAGAGGAGAGUGGAAUUCCUGGUGUAGCGGUGAAAUGCGCAGAUAUCAGGAGGAACACCAAUGGCGAAGGCAGCUCGCUGGGACGGUACUGACGCUGAGACGCGAAAGCGUGGGGAGCAAACAGG
rnacentral:rRNA from 1 species